rnacentral:rRNA from 1 species
UUAUGUGAUCGUCUCUCGCAUAUCAAUAAGCGGAGGAAAAGAAACUAACAAGGAUUCCCCUAGUAACGGCGAGUGAAGCGGGAAGAGCUCAAAUUUGAAAUCUUAAAGGGUUUCCCUUUACGAAUUGUAGUUUAAAGAAGUGUUUUCUGUUGAGGUCUUGGUAAAAGUUCUUUGGAAUAGGACAUCAUAGAGGGUGAGAAUCCCGUAUUUGACCUUUACUUUCAACUUUGUGAUACACUUUCAAAGAGUCGGAUUGUUUGGGAAUGCAGUCCAAAAUGGGUGGUAAAUUUCAUCUAAAGCUAAAUAUUGGCGAGAGACCGAUAGCGAACAAGUACCGUGAGGGAAAGAUGAAAAGAACUUUGAAAAGAGAGUUAAACAGUACGUGAAAUUGUCAAAAGGGAAGCGUUUGACACCAGUGUUGUUUUUCUGAAAAUCAAUUAAAGAACUGUUUAUGCUAAGCUUGUUUAGACUUUAUCAGCUAACUGUUUAGUUUUGAGCUUUUCUUUAAUGCACUUUUCAGUUAACAAGUCAACAUCAAUUUCUUUUGCUGUAAAAAAGCUUGAGGAAGGUGGCUUGAGAUUCGUCUUAAGUGUUUAUAGCCUCUUGCCUAUGCAGUCGGAGAGAUUGAGGUCUGCAGCGUAGAUCCUUCGGGGCUAAAUGCAUUUGUGCUAAGUUAUAGCAUUUUAUAGACAACUUGUUGACUAUGAUUUGUCUUGUAGCUUACUCGCUUAUGUUAUUUUACCUACGCUUAGGAUGUUGAGCGCAUGUCUCUCUCU